CGCUUCUAGUUUUUGAUCGUUCACGAGUAUUCAAACUGAUAACGGAAACAGUGAAUAAUAAUAAAAAAGAAAAAAAAAAAUAGAUGAAAAGAAGAAAGGAAAACGGCGGACAAAUGGUGAUGUUUGUUGAAAAAUAAAAGGGAGAAACGAGUCGAAUUCGACUAUUGUGACGUAACUAACGGAAUGAAGCAUUGGAGGUUAGGUACAACGAACGAAAGUUGAAAUAAGAGAAAGAUGAAGACAGAGGAUUGAAUAAAAGGAAGAGAGAUAGAUAGUGAAGGCUAAUGAAUAAAACGAAUUAUCUGUCGAGAGCAGUGUCCCGUUGAAGGAACAAAUUGCCACGAAUGUGCACGAGAACUAACUCCUCGAUGACAAAUUACGACAAUGCUGGUAAAAAACUGCUAAAAUUCGAUGAAAAGAAGAAGAGAAUUGGAGGAUUGAAUUCAAAUGGCAACAAAGGAGAAGGUUGGAUAGGCAUAUCCGUAUUGUUUUUCUUUGUGCUUUUUUUUUUUGCGGAUGACAAAACCAAUUCGAAUCGUAUUUCGAUAUUGAAUUAAACUACUUUCUUCUCUUCUCGCACAAAAGAAUAGUCGAGAUUCGAACGAAGAAUCCGCUUGAGAUGCAUAAGUAUUGUUUCUUGUACUUGUUCUCGGAAGCGGAAUUAAUCGAUUGAUUUAAAUCGCUCUUUCGAUCGAUCGUUAAUAAAUCGAUGAAUUUGUAAGCAGAUUUUUUGUUAUCGAGAAAAGUAUUUUCUUCUGAAAUGUCAUUAUCAAUUGAGAGUUUGAUAUUGAAAGAUUAUUCGAUGGACUAUCAAAGUAUUGAAUCAGCGCCGCUUCUCGCUGUCGACGUGAGAAGCGAAGUGCCUUCGACUUCAGGUUCACUGCCAUGAGCAUUAUUACGCAAGAAGAGGCUAUGUUCGUUCCUCCUGUUAUGUCUUAACUGCACUUAAUUAAUCGCCUAAUUGCCGACCUGCCAAUUAAACCUCUGGUGUCGGCACGAGUUACACUCGUCGGAUCAAUUUUCUUUGACUUAUGCAUAUUUUAUAGGGAAAAACACCACUUUCGAUCAAUUGGAAGUGAAAUCUCUGUGAGCUAAUGGCCAGCAAUGAGCAGCGACAAUUUUAAACUCGUUAAACGUGAAAUGAGAAAAAUCCAAAUGUCUGGUUUUUAAUGCAAAUUAUAGGAGUAACAUUUAACGAUGUAAAACAAGAAAAAAAUAUAGAAUGACGGUAAUUAAACGACAUAUAAACUCAACGUAUUAAAAUCCUUUUAUGGUGCAACACAUUGGCGAAAAUCAUGCACACGUAGACGUCAGCAGCGUUUAAUCUGAAAGAUACCGGAAACUGAAAGUACCGGGUAAAUCCCACGUUCGAUUCAAUGGAGACUUUAACACGACCUUAAGCUAUAUACAUAAAAUCCAAAAAUUCAAAAGUAAAAGGAUACAAGAAUUCCAAAGAUUCAGAGAUUUAAGGAUUUAAAGAUUAACAGAUCCCAAUAUUCAAAGAUUCAAAUAUUUCAAGAUUAAAAAAUUGAAAAAUUCAAGGAUUCGUAGAUGCAAAAAUUCAGACAUUCAAAGAAUGAUCAUCGAAUUUAUUAAAGAAUUCUAUUAAAGGAAAAAAAAAAAUGAGAAGGAAGAAUUGGUCAUAACUAAAUCUCUUGGUUCAAAUCGUCGAACAGUCGAUAGUUCAAUAUUACCAUUUCAUCAAAACCUCCAACCCGAUAUUCCCCGUAUUCGUCCAGUCUUCGUGAUGUUUGCGUGGAAUCACGAUUUAUAGCCAUGGAUGUAACGUUAUUUAACUGAAAAAUGUUAUUUACAUUCCUACAAAGUAGACACAUACGUACGUUGUUGCUGUUUGUUAUCAACGUGCGUCGAAAUCUAAUAUUUGGCCAACGCGUGUAUCGACGCGUUGGAUCGACGUUUCUACGAUUAUUCCACGUAAAAGUCAGCCAAUCUCCAAACAAGUUUUCCAUUCUUCCGAUCGAUAUCGAAAUUUUGAAUUUGUAUCUGAUAAAAGUUCGAAAAAAAUUCUUCGAUCGAGGAAAUAAUUGUGGAAAUUAUUAAAUUUUACGAAAUUCAAAUUAAUCUUAUAUCUAUCUAU